AUUGAACGCUGGCGGCAUGCCUUACACAUGCAAGUCGAACGGUAACAGGUCUUCGGAUGCUGACGAGUGGCGAACGGGUGAGUAAUACAUCGGAACGUGCCCAGACGUGGGGGAUAACGAGGCGAAAGCUUUGCUAAUACCGCAUACGAUCUAAGGAUGAAAGCAGGGGACCGCAAGGCCUUGUGCGUUUGGAGCGGCCGAUGGCAGAUUAGGUAGUUGGUGGGAUAAAAGCUUACCAAGCCGACGAUCUGUAGCUGGUCUGAGAGGACGACCAGCCACACGGGGACUGAGACACGGCCCAGACUCCUACGGGAGGCAGCAGUGGGGAAUUUUGGACAAUGGGCGAAAGCCUGAUCCAGCAAUGCCGCGUGCAGGAUGAAGGCCUUCGGGUUGUAAACUGCUUUUGUACGGAACGAAAAGGAUCUGGCUAAUACCUGGGGCACAUGACGGUACCGUAAGAAUAAGCACCGGCUAACUACGUG
rnacentral:rRNA from 1 species